GGGGUUGGGGCUCAGUGGUAGAGCACUUGCCUAGCAUGUAUGAGGCACUGGGUUCGAUUCUCAGCACCA
rnacentral:tRNA from 1 species